ACAGAGGUGGCAAGCGUUGUUCGGAUUUACUGGGCGUAAAGGGUGCGUAGGUGGUUCGGCGUGUCAGAUGUGAAAUCUCAUCGCUCAACGGUGAACGCGCAUUUGAAACUGCCGGACUAGAGUCCGGGGGAGGGGAGUGGAAUUCUUGGUGUAGCGGUGAAAUGCGUAGAUAUCAAGAAGAACACCGGUGGCGAAGGCGACUCCCUAUCCCGAUACUGACACUGAGGCACGAAAGCUGGGGGAGCAAACAG
rnacentral:rRNA from 1 species